AUUGAACGCUGGCGGCAUGCUUUACACAUGCAAGUCGAACGGCAGCACGGGGGCGAACCCUCGGUGGCGAGUGGCGAACGGGUGAGUAAUGCAUCGGAACGUAUCCUUAAGUGGGGGAGUAACGCAUCGAAAGAAUGCGCUAAUAACCGCAUAAUCUCUGAGGAGAAAAGACAGGGGAGUCGCAAGACCUUGCGCUUUUGGUAGCGGCCGAUGUCUGAUUAGCUAGUUGGUUGAGGU
rnacentral:rRNA from 1 species